UACGGAGGGUGCGAGCGUUGUCCGGAAUCAUUGGGCGUAAAGGGCGCGUAGGUGGCCCGGUCAGUUCGUGGUGAAAGCGCGGGGCUCAACCCUGCGUCGGCCAUGAAUACUGCCACGGCUGGAGCACUGUAGAGGCAGGCGGAAUUCCGGGUGGUAGCGGUGGAAUGCGUAGAGAGUCCGGAAGAACACCGGUGGCGAAGGCGGCCUGCUGGGCAG
rnacentral:rRNA from 1 species